rnacentral:tRNA from 1 species
GGGUGAAAUGGUGUAGAAUGUGAUUGUGAGCUGAUUUACAGGAUAUUAAUUUCUUGUAAUUACCCCUAAGAAACAUGUGUAUAUUUCCUUGACACGGAAGAGGUCAGAAGUUCGAUUCUUCUAUCACCCACCA